AGGGUAAGGCAAGCUCGUAUAGCAAAAGAUAAAGGAAGACUUCAGCUUUGUAGGACCAGAUAAUGAUGUGCAAGAGGAAUGGUCGGCAAUGGUCACAACGUCCAGAUAUUUGGUCUAUAUAUACUUCCGCAUUCCUUGACCAUCUUGCGCUGGUCCGUUCACGGAGAGCAUUACCUGUGUGCACGGACACCAUUACCUGUGUGCACGGACACCAUUAUCUGUGUGCACGGACACCAUUACCUGUGUGCACGGACACCAUUAUCUGUGUGCACGGACACCAUAAUCUGUAUGCACGAACGUGCACUCAACUUGAUACUUAGAAUUCAAACACUGCACUCGAUCGUGAAUUUUAAAGUGUUCUUCUGGUGUGCAAUAGAAGAUCCAAAAGAUAAUAUACCGGAAUCAUCUACUUAGACGGACCAAAACCCAGGUCGAUGAACUCUGACUUCUUAUGUGCAAGGACGCCAGUUUGUAGUUCGGCUUUGUUGCAUGAGGAAGAGGAUGCUAUCUUCAGUAUCUUUUUGUGAUGACGUAUGUAAUUUGCAAUAUUGGUGUCUAAUUACGUAGAUUCUACAAUAGAUAUUGGGCCUUAUAAGAAAACAGCCAUUAUAUAGUAUCAACUCUCUCUUUUUCAUCUGAUGUUCUGGCGUAAAUCGUCCUUCCGUGUGACCCAGAAUCCGCCGUGCGUACGAGGUCUGGCUUAGAGUGACCAAGGGACGGGAGGAUGGUGAUAUUUAUAGAAGUCAGAGCUCGGGAGCGUGAAAUUGUCAGCCGGGGCUUUAUCCCGCUAUGUUUUAUUUAAUAAAGAUGUUACUAUAUCUGUAACACGUCAUCAACCAAAUCUCAUGGAUAGAUAGAUCUAGUUAAGGUACAUGUAUAAUCAGUGUGUGGACUUCCAGUGUACAGGUGUAAUGAAGAAUAUGAUGUAAUGGCCUAAGGGGUUUACGUGAUUUUUUUAGCUAUGAUACAUAAAUACACCUUUGCUAGUACAUGUAUAUUGAUUCAUUAGAUACUCUUAACCCUCUAUCAGCGGUAAGUACAUAGGCAUUACAUGUCUGCAGUUAGGUGUGCAUAUAUUUAGCAUGCAAAAAUGAAAA